CCUGAUGCAGCGACGCCGCGUGAGGGAUGACGGCCUUCGGGUUGUAAACCUCUUUCAGCAGGGACGAAGCGUAAGUGACGGUACCUGCAGAAGAAGCGCCGGCCAACUACGUGCCAGCAGCCGCGGUAAGACGUAGGGCGCGAGCGUUGUCCGGAUUUAUUGGGCGUAAAGAGCUCGUAGGCGGCUUGUCGCGUCGACCGUGAAAACUUGGGGCUCAACCCCAAGCCUGCGGUCGAUACGGGCAGGCUAGAGUUCGGUAGGGGAGACUGGAAUUCCUGGUGUAGCGGUGAAAUGCGCAGAUAUCAGGAGGAACACCGGUGGCGAAGGCGGGUCUCUGGGCCGAUACUGACGCUGAGGAGCGAAAGCGUGGGGAGCGAACAGGAUUAGAUACCCUGGUAGUCCACGCUGUAAACGUUGGGCGCUAGGUGUGGGGGGCCUCUCCGGUUCCCUGUGCCGCAGCUAACGCAUUAAGCGCCCCGC
rnacentral:rRNA from 1 species